GACAGAGGUGCCGAGCGUUAGGCGGAAUCACUGGGCUUAAAGCGUGUGUAGGCGGAGGCCUAAGUACCUUGUGAAAUCCCACGGCUCAACCGUGGAACUGCUUGGUAUACUGGGUCUCUUGAGCCACCUAGGGGCAAGUGGAACAAACGGUGGAGCGGUGAAAUGCGUAGAUAUCAUUUGGAACGCCAAUGGUGAAAACAGGUAGCUGGGAGUGUGCUGACACUGAGACACGAAAGCCAGGGAGCAAACGGG
rnacentral:rRNA from 1 species